GGUGGCUCAGUGGUAGAGUGCUUGCCUUGCAUGCAUGAGGCCCUGGGUUCAAUACCUCAGCACCA
rfam:Dipodomys ordii contig_57651, whole genome shotgun sequence.